rnacentral:rRNA from 1 species
AACGAACGCUGGCGGCAUGCCUAACACAUGCAAGUCGAACGAGACCUUCGGUCUAGUGGCGCACGGGUGCGUAACGCGUGGGAAUCUGCCCUUGGGUUCGGAAUAACAGCGAGAAAUUGCUGCUAAUACCGGAUGAUGACGUAAGUCCAAAGAUUUAUCGCCCAAGGAUGAGCCCGCGUAGGAUUAGCUAGUUGGUGAGGUAAAGGCUCACCAAGGCGACGAUCCUUAGCUGGUCUGAGAGGAUGAUCAGCCACACUGGGACUGAGACACGGCCCAGACUCCUACGGGAGGCAGCAGUGGGGAAUAUUGGACAAUGGGCGAAAGCCUGAUCCAGCAAUGCCGCGUGAGUGAUGAAGGCCUUAGGUUGUAAGCUCUUUUACCCGGGAUGAUAAUGACAGUACCGAGAGAAUAAGCUCCGGCUAACUCCGUGCCAGCAGCCGCGGUAAU